ACUAGGAGCUAGCUCUUUGCAACUUUCACAUGGUCGCCCCCUGAACCCAAGCAAGGCUGUGCCCUGCCAGUACCUGAAUGGGAGACCACACGGGAAAGCUAGGUUGCUGCUGGAA
rnacentral:rRNA from 1 species